rnacentral:misc_RNA from 1 species
CAGUCGUAACAAGGUUUCCGUAGGUCUCCGGAAGGAUCAUUAACGUAUUCAACGUUAAACAACCCUGUGAACUUUCAGCGCUCUUGUAGCCCCAGAGGAACAGCAAAUCCCGGUAAAUCAAUGGCGGAAAAGGUUCUUGAUUCGGGACCUCUGUCCAAAAGGUAUCAAGUUACAAUCGAGCAGAGCAGUGGUUCCCUAAGCAGUGCAGAAGGGUCCACUGAGUAGGGAUAACACAUCACGGUUGCCACCGGCGACAUGUCACAGGGCUUUACGCCCCUUCAUUCACCCCUUGCCUAAUCAAGCCUCGCGGAAACGCCGGGCAUAAAAACCGAGCCUGUUAACAAUGGAUAUCUUGGUUCUC